rnacentral:rRNA from 1 species
AACGUAGGAGGCGAGCGUUAUCCGGAUUUACUGGGCGUAAAGCGCGUGCAGGCGGUAAUGCAAGUUGGGCGUGAAAUCUCCUGGCUUAACUAGGAGGCGCCGUCCAAAACUGCAUCACUUGAGGGUAGGAGAGGGAAGCGGAAUUCCCGGUGUAGCGGUAAUAUGCGCAGAUAUCGGGAGGAACACCAGUGGCGAAGGCGGCUUCCUGGCCUAUUCCUGACGCUAAGACGCGAAAGCUAGGGUAGCAAAC